UGGGGAAUUUUGGACAAUGGGCGAAAGCCUGAUCCAGCAAUGCCGCGUGUGUGAAGAAGGCCUUCGGGUUGUAAAGCACUUUUGUCCGGAAAGAAAUCCUCUGGGUUAAUACCUCGGGGGGAUGACGGUACCGGAAGAAUAAGCACCGGCUAACUACGUGCCAGCAGCCGCGGUAAUACGUAGGGUGCAAGCGUUAAUCGGAAUUACUGGGCGUAAAGCGUGCGCAGGCGGUUUUGUAAGACGGAUGUGAAAUCCCCGGGCUUAACCUGGGAACUGCAUUCGUGACUGCAAGGCUAGAGUAUGGCAGAGGGGGGUAGAAUUCCACGUGUAGCAGUGAAAUGCGUAGAGAUGUGGAGGAAUACCGAUGGCGAAGGCAGCCCCCUGGGCCAAUACUGACGCUCAUGCACGAAAGCGUGGGGAGCAAACAGGAUUAGAUACCCUGGUAGUCCACGCCCUAAAACGAUGUCAACUAGUUGUUGGGGAUUCAUUUCCUUAGUAACGUAGCUAACGCGUGAAGUUGACCGCCUGGGGGAGUACGGUCGCAAGAUUAAAACUCAAAGGAAUUGACGGGGUCAUAGCUGUUUCCU
rnacentral:rRNA from 1 species